CGGGAACUCCUGAGCUCAGGCAAUCCGCCUGCCUCGGCCUCCGAAAGUGCUGGGAUUACAGGUGUGAGUCACUGCGCCACCGCAUGUUUUUUUUUUUUUUUUUUUUAAAGAGAAUUAUUCUAAAUUCAAGAUCUACCUCUAAUUUAUGUGGUCUUUUUUUAUUAUGUACUUGGAUUAGGAAUUUUUGUAUUUUUGUUUGUACAACAAAAAAUAUGUAAACAUCCCCAAAUAAAAAAAUAGGUGCCCUAGAUCUGUGACACUGGAAGUGCUGUUUUCCUGGCUCAAUAUCCCUUAUUUGGCUAAGAAAAAAAGGGCAGUUUCCAACUCAUUUGUAC
rnacentral:lncRNA from 10 species